rnacentral:rRNA from 1 species
CAGCCGCCACGGGAAUACGGAGGGGGCUAGCGUUGUUCGGAAUUACUGGGCGUAAAGCGCACGUAGGCGGCUUGGUAAGUUAGGGGUGAAAGCCCGGAGCUCAACUCCGGAAUUGCCUUUAAGACUGCCGAGCUAGUAGGUGAGAGAGGUAAGUGGAAUUCCGAGUGUAGAGGUGAAAUUCGUAGAUAUUCGGAAGGACACCAGUGGCGAAGGCGGCUUACUGGCUCAUUCUAGACGCUGAGGUGCGAAAGCGUGGGGAGCAAACAGGAUUAGAUACCCGCGUAGUCCCUGUCUCUUAUAC